AGCUGCUGUGGUGUAGUGGUUAUCACGUUUGCUUUACACGCAAAAGGUCUCCGGUUCGAUCCCGGGCAGCAGCAU
rnacentral:tRNA from 1 species